rnacentral:rRNA from 1 species
AGAUUGAACGCUGGCGGAAUGCUUUACACAUGCAAGUCGAGCGGCAGCGCGGGGGCAACCCUGGCGGCGAGCGGCGAACGGGUGAGUAAUACAUCGGAACAUGUCCAGUUGUGGGGGAUAGCCCGGCGAAAGCCGGAUUAAUACCGCAUGAGCUCGAGAGAGGAAAGCGGGGGACCGUAAGGCCUCGCGCGACUGGGUUGGCCGAUGUCCGAUUAGCUAGUUGGUGGGGUAAAAGGCCUAACCAAGGCGAUGAUCGGUAGCUGGUCUGAGAGGAUGAUCAGCCACACUGGGACUGAGACACGGCCCAGACUCCUACGGGAGGCAGCAGUGGGGAAUUUUGGAC